rnacentral:rRNA from 1 species
AUACGAAGGGUGCUAGCGUUGUUCGGAAUUACUGGGCGUAAAGAGCAUGUAGGCGGAUAGAUUAGUCAGAGGUGAAAGCCCCGAGCUCAACUCGGGAACUGCCUUUGAUACUGUUUAUCUAGAGACCGAGAGAGGUGAGUGGAAUUCUCAGUGUAGAGGUGAAAUUCGUAGAUAUUGGGAAGAACACCAGUGGCGAGGGCGGCUCACUGGCUCGGAACUGACGCUGAGAUGCGAAAGCGUGGGGAGCGAACAGGAUUAGAAACCCUAGUAGUCC